rnacentral:rRNA from 1 species
AUGGAGAUGGAGAUGGAUUCCGUGCAAGCCAGCGGGCGGCGAUCGGCGGAGGAGCUGGAUGAGGCCGACCCCUUCGUCGCGCGGAAGAAGAUGAAGCAUCCGGAGAAGGGGAUGGGGAUUGGUUCCAUUCUGGGACGGCAACUCGCGGAGGAGUUGAGCGAGUUGCUGGAGGCCAUCUCGCUUGCUGCCCGGGCAGACCGUGAGAACUGGAAGGGGGUUGAUUGCGUCCGGUCACUGCGGCCGGUCGACAUGGAGGAAGCCCUCGCCGUCGCUGACCGGAAGAAGGUGGGGAAGCCGGAGAAGGGGAAGGAGGUUGCUAGCUGGCAGCCGACGGGGGAGUUGGAGGAGGCCCUCUCCGUCGCCGUACGGAGCGGGCUGAUGGCCGAGGAGGUGCGGAAGUUCCUCCGCGUGGCCGCCUGGUCAAAUCUGACGGACUACGACGUCCACUGUCUCGCCGUCGAGAGGGGCCUCAGGGACGAGGACGCCGUCUCCCUCGCAGAGAACUUCCUCACCAUGUACAAGAUCGUAUUCUCCACUCUACACGCGCAGCUCCUCUCCUCGUUUGACAGACGGCGGUUUGAUCCUGAGCUAUGCCAAUGGAAGACGUUUGGUCGCUUCGUCGACGAGAGGAAGAAAAGAGGUCCGGAUGCGACCACCUUCCUUCUCUUCAAGAUCAAGGCAUCGGCCAGGACUGCCAAGGUGUCGUGGUGGCGGAAGGAGUACCCCCAUUUCCCCCCGGAGCGGGCAGGGUACACCGGUGCUCUGCGCGUGGCCCGUCUCGUCGGCGGCAGAGAAGGGCCUCGUCUGGAGGAGGCGGGUGAGGACGGGCAACCGGGCGCCCUCUCAUAUGGUAGCGACUACAACUGUAGGUGGCUUGAUCGCAGAGUGGGUGUCCUCGAGGACGGCUGGCUCAGCCCACUCAACGAGGUCGCCAUCAUCAGGAGGUUACCCAAAGGCGAGGGGAUCUAUAUCAUGUCGUACGUGAGUCGACUUGGUGUUAAGCUUGAUGAAUUUCUGUUUGUGUUGCACGUGGCUUGGACAGUCGCCUUGAGCUUUACCGAGCGAUGGUUCUAUGUCUCUUCCAAGUUCACAGAGGAGAAGUUGUACGCUGUUCCUGGUGUUGAUUUUCUGAAUAUUACUGUUCUUGUGAAGAACCUGAUCAAGAAGCUUUACCAGAUGUAUGAGCAAGAGGAGCAAGCUAAGAAAAUGAUGCUUGAGCAACAAGAUCCUCAUGAGAGGCAGGAGGAGAUGAGACCGCUUCUAGAGGAGGAAGAGAGGAAUAAACGGGAAGAUAUGCGUAGGAGAAAGGAGGAGAGCAUGAAACAGAAACUCCUACGCAAAGAAAAAAGGGAGGCGGCUCAUCAGAUGAAGAUGGUAACAAGGGCUGGGAAAGAACAGGGGAAGAAUGAAGAAUAUGAGGAAGACUUCUUUUGCACUCCAACACUUUUGUGUGUGCAGAACCUGAUUUGA